rnacentral:rRNA from 1 species
UGCAAGUCGAGCGGAAACGAGUUAUCUGAACCUUCGGGGGACGAUAACGGCGUCGAGCGGCGGACGGGUGAGUAAUGCCUAGGAAAUUGCCCUGAUGUGGGGGAUAACCAUUGGAAACGAUGGCUAAUACCGCAUGAUGCCUACGGGCCAAAGAGGGGGACCUUCGGGCCUCUCGCGUCAGGAUAUGCCUAGGUGGGAUUAGCUAGUUGGUGAGGUAAGGGCUCACCAAGGCGACGAUCCCUAGCUGGUCUGAGAGGAUGAUCAGCCACACUGGAACUGAGACACGGUCCAGACUCCUACGGGAGGCAGCAGUGGGGAAUAUUGCACAAUGGGCGCAAGCCUGAUGCAGCCAUGCCGCGUGUGUGAAGAAGGCCUUCGGGUUGUAAAGCACUUUCAGUCGUGAGGAAGGUAGUGUAGUUAAUAGCUGCAUUAUUUGACGUUAGCGACAGAAGAAGCACCGGCUAACUCCGUGCCAGCAGCCGCGGUAAUACGGAGGGUGCGAGCGUUAAUCGGAAUUACUGGGCGUAAAGCGCAUGCAGGUGGUUUGUUAAGUCAGAUGUGAAAGCCCGGGGCUCAACCUCGGAAUAGCAUUUGAAACUGGCAGACUAGAGUACUGUAGAGGGGGGUAGAAUUUCAGGUGUAGCGGUGAAAUGCGUAGAGAUCUGAAGGAAUACCGGUGGCGAAGGCGGCCCCCUGGACAGAUACUGACACUCAGAUGCGAAAGCGUGGGGAGCAAACAGGAUUAGAUACCCUGGUAGUCCACGCCGUAAACGAUGUCUACUUGGAGGUUGUGGCCUUGAGCCGUGGCUUUCGGAGCUAACGCGUUAAGUAGACCGCCUGGGGAGUACGGUCGCAAGAUUAAAACUCAAAUGAAUUGACGGGGGCCCGCACAAGCGGUGGAGCAUGUGGUUUAAUUCGAUGCAACGCGAAGAACCUUACCUACUCUUGACAUCCAGAGAACUUUCCAGAGAUGGAUUGGUGCCUUCGGGAACUCUGAGACAGGUGCUGCAUGGCUGUCGUCAGCUCGUGUUGUGAAAUGUUGGGUUAAGUCCCGCAACGAGCGCAACCCUUAUCCUUGUUUGCCAGCGAGUAAUGUCGGGAACUCCAGGGAGACUGCCGGUGAUAAACCGGAGGAAGGUGGGGACGACGUCAAGUCAUCAUGGCCCUUACGAGUAGGGCUACACACGUGCUACAAUGGCGCAUACAGAGGGCGGCCAACUUGCGAAAGUGAGCGAAUCCCAAAAAGUGCGUCGUAGUCCGGAUUGGAGUCUGCAACUCGACUCCAUGAAGUCGGAAUCGCUAGUAAUCGUGGAUCAGAAUGCCACGGUGAAUACGUUCCCGGGCCUUGUACACACCGCCCGUCACACCAUGGGAGUGGGCUGCAAAAGAAGUAGGUAGUUUAACCUUCGGGGGGACGCUUACCAC